rnacentral:rRNA from 1 species
UACGUAGGUGACAAGCGUUGUCCGGAUUUACUGGGCGUAAAGAGCGCGCAGGCGGUCGUUCAAGUCGAGUGUGAAAGCCCCCGGCUCAACUGGGGAGGGUCACUCGAUACUGAUCGACUCGAAGGCAGGAGAGGGAAGUGGAAUUCCCGGUGUAGUGGUGAAAUGCGUAGAUAUCGGGAGGAACACCAGUGGCGAAGGCGACAUCCUGGACCGGCAUUGACGCUGAGGAGCGAAAGCUAGGGGAGCAAACGGG